GACGAACGCUGGCGGCGUGCUUAACACAUGCAAGUCGAACGAUGAAGAAAAGAAUCGAAGCUUCGGCAGAAAUUCAUUUCGGAUUAGUGGCAGACGGGUGAGUAACGCGUGAGCAACCUACCUCUUACAAAGGGAUAGCCUCGGGAAACCGGGAUUAAUACCAUAUAACAUUGCGACGAAGCAUUUCGAUGCAAUCAAAGCUAUGGCGGUAAGAGAUGGGCUCGCGUCCCAUUAACCGGAUGGUGAGGUAACGGCUCACCAUAGUGACGAUGGGUAACCGGCCUGAGAGGGUGAACGGUCACACUGGAACUGAGACACGGUCCAGACUCCUACGGGAGGCAGCAGUGGGGAAUAUUGCACAAUGGAGGGAACUCUGAUGCAGCGACGCCGCGUGAGUGAUGAAGGAAUUCGUUUCGUAAAACUCUGUUCUAUGGGAAGAAAAGGACUGUACCAUAGGAGAAAGCUCCGGCUAAAUACGU
rnacentral:rRNA from 1 species